rnacentral:rRNA from 1 species
UAAUACGUAGGGGGCGAGCGUUGUCCGAAGUUACUGGGCGUAAAGCGCGCGUAGGCGGUCUCUUAAGUCUGGGGUGAAAGGUUCACGGCUCAACCGGAACAGUGCCUUGGAUACUGGGAGACUUGAAUCUGGCAGAGGAUAGUGGAAUUCCUGGUGUAGCGGUGAAAUGCGUAGAUAUCAGGAGGAACACCGAUGGCGAAGGCAGCUAUCUGGGCUAAGAUUGACGCUGAGGUGCGAAAGCGUGGGGAGCGAACGGGAUUAGAUACCCCGGUAGUCCACGCCGUAAACGAUGAGUGCUAGAUGUUCGGGGUAUCGACCCCCCGUGCGUCGUCGCUAACGCAUUAAGCACUCCGCCUGGGGAGUACGGCCGCAAGGUUG